CUGAAGUCUAAAGAUACCAAUUGGAAUACAUUAUCCACAGUUACCAGCUGUGGAAUUUUGAGCAUAAGUAAGUUACUAAUCUCUUAGUCUUACUUGCUCAUCUGUUGCCAAGAGCUGGAAGAAGAUGGCCUCUGCAGGGUCACCUUCCAAGUCCCUCAGGAAGGCAACUAACGGGAGGAACUUAAUGUGCAUCCAGAGACCAAGAUGGCGGGAGUGUGGGAAACGUGGCUUUUAGCAUGCCAGCACCUUCCAAAGGGAAGAUAGGUGGAAUGGAGGUGAAGGGACCGAUGCAAAGUGCUAAACACAAGUUUAAAAUUUGGACUAUGGCUGUUUACAAGGAAGAAUCAAUGUCUUCACACAGGGAGAUCUUUAAAGGCUUUAUUAAAAUGCAGAGAAGGCUUUCCAACAAGGAUGCGAGGGCAGAUGGAAGUGAGAGGCCUUCAUAACGAGAUUAAGCAGAUGGGAAAGUUUACGACUAAUGAGAAGGGCAAAAGGACGCUAAAAGUGAUCAUUUUCUUGAAAUUAUAGUGAGGAGAAGGAUCUGUGCUUUACGUCUUGGGAACCUCCUCUGGUCAUGAACUCAGAAUGGGAAUUUUUUCCAGUAUUCUCUGGGGUAGCUGCUUUCAGAAAGAGGCGGAAAGGCAUGACACUACUUUAAGGUGUUCUAACAGAUUCUGUGAAUUUCAAGGCUAAUUAAUCUCAAGAAGUUUAUCAUUGAUGACAGCUGCUACGGCUUGAUCCUGCUCUUGCAAGGGCUCUAUGACAAUGGAAAUUACAUCAUGGUGUUUCUAGGGACGAGACGGAUGGAAAGCCAACUAGGUGAAUAAACAUGCAACUAAGAUUUUGCACGGCUUAUUUAGUACAGAUCACAUCUAUGUGAAGUUUCGACUGAAACAUAGAAUAAAUUCUAAUUUAUUUAUUGAGUAUCUUCAAGUCCAGCAAUCUGUCUUCACAACAACUCUUUAAUUGUCAUAGUUUUAUAAUAUACUUCAAUUCUGAAAGGACUUGGUCCCAAGGGUGUAUAAUGAGCCUGGCAAAGAAAGAAAGUGGUUCAAUUCAAAGAGACACAAGUUGUUUAAAGAGACUGAG
rnacentral:lncRNA from 1 species